rnacentral:rRNA from 1 species
CGUAUUGUCUGGUUAUUUCCGUUAACGAACGAGACCACAGCCUACUAAAUAGUACGUGUUAUGGUAACAUAGUAUGAGACUUCUUAGAGGGACAUUUCGGGUUUACCGAAAGGAAGUUUGUGGCAAUAACAGGUCUGUGAUGCCCUUAGAUGUUCUGGGCCGCACGCGCGCUACACUGACGACUUCAACAAGUUUUUUGGCCUUGCCAAAUUUCCUUGGCCGGAAGGUCUGGGUAAUCUUUUAAAAGGGCGUCGUGAUGGGGCUAGAUUCUUGCAAUUAUUAAUCUCCAACGAGGAACC